rnacentral:tRNA from 3 species
UGGAGUGUAGCUCAAUCGGUAGAGCACCCGGCUGUUAACCGGGCGGUUGAAGGUUCGAUCCCUUCCACUCCAGCCA